rnacentral:lncRNA from 1 species
CUGAAAGCAAUUUAAAUUUUAAUGAUGAAUAUUAGGAAAGUGAUUAUUUCAUUAUGUUCAUCUUCAGCUUAUGUGAAGCCACAUUUGCCAAGACACUCAAGAACUCACAUCACUCCUGCAAGAAUGCCACUUUGUGAAUACAAAAGGAAACUUCACUAUCAGCUCAAUGUCUGUGUUGGUAUCUUUGUGAGAUACCAACCUGAAACUGGCAAGACCACCAAGAGAAGGAUCCAGACAGCGAGUGGAGAAUUAUUGGAGAUCAUCAGCUUCAGUGAAACAGGAAAUGUUGCCUGAGUCCUAUACUACUCAACAGAGGGAUAAAUGUGGAAAUUGAGAAGCAAAAGGGCCUCUGCUAUG